AUUGAACGCUGGCGGCAUGCCUUACACAUGCAAGUCGAACGGCAGCACGGGAGCAAUCCUGGUGGCGAGUGGCGAACGGGUGAGUAAUAUAUCGGAACGUGCCCAGUCGUGGGGGAUAACGCAGCGAAAGCUGUGCUAAUACCGCAUACGACCUCUGGAUGAAAGCGGGGGCACGUAAGGCCUCGCGCGAUUGGAGCGGCCGAUAUCAGAUUAGCUAGUUGGUGGGGUAAAGGCCCACCAAGGCGACGAUCUGUAGCUGGUCUGAGAGAACGACCAACCACAAUGGAACUGAGACACGGUCCAGACUCCUACGGGAGGCAGCAGUGGGGAAUUUUGGACAAUAGGCGCAAGCCUGAUCCAGCAAUGCCGCGUGCAGGAUGAAGGCCUUCGGGUUGUAAACUGCUUUUGUACGGAACGAAACGGCGAGCUCUAAUAAAGUUUGCUAAUGACGGUACCGUAAGAAUAAGCACCGGCUAACUACGUGCCAGCCGCCGCGGUAA
rnacentral:rRNA from 1 species